rnacentral:lncRNA from 1 species
UGUUUCCUUACUAGACAUAACCAUGCUACCCCCUCCACUGCAGCACCUUCCUAUCUUCAUGGAGUAAAAGAUGGAAGGCAGAAGCCCUAAGACAAGAAGAGAAGGGAAAAAGAUGUCCAUGUACUGAAAAGUACCCAUGGCUCAGUGUGGAUGGACUGUAUCAACUAGAGAUGGGAGGAGAACCACACAGCAGCUGGCUUUGAGGAAGUCUUCGGCUUUCAUCACCCUGCUGGGGCUUUUUGGAGCCCUAAUACUGAGCUGUUUACCUUCUGGCUGUUGGAGAUGGGCUGGGAGAUCUGAGGAAGCCAGGGUAGGUGUCAGCAGAGAUACCUGGUUUCUGUCAAUAAACACGCAGAAUCGCAGCAUCCCCUGGAGCUGGAGGCUACAGAGUCCUGCCUUUCAAGACAGUUGGGAGGAACUGUUUAAUGAGAUUUUGGCCUCUAGCAGCCAUGGCCUUUAAGAAGCUCAACAUACUCAGAUAUUUGGUCCAUAACUGCACCUAGGGAUGCAGCGGUGGCAGUCUGUCCUCUGUGGAUGCACACAAAUAGGGCUUCCUCAGCUGCCAGACUUGUCUGCAUUCAGGUGGGGCACAAUGUCCUUCCGGCACCCACUGCAAUGGCUUGUGUCUGCAUGGAUAAUUGCUCAGAAAACACAGACUGGCUUCUGUUAAAUGGAAUUGUGGUUCUGAAUGAAUAAACAUGGCUAGGACUGAU